GACGAACCGUGCGAACGUUGUUCGGAUUCACUGGGCUUAAAGGGCGCGUAGGCGGCUUGCCAAGUCAGGGGUGAAAUCGUUCGGCUCAACCGGACAAUUGCUUUUGAUACUGGUAGGCUUGAGGGAGGUAGGGGCAGAUGGAACUUCCGGUGGAGCGGUGAAAUGCGUAGAUAUCGGAAGGAACGCCGGUGGCGAAAGCGAUCUGCUGGAUCUCUACUGACGCUGAGGCGCGAAAGCCAGGGGAGCAAAC
rnacentral:rRNA from 1 species